UACGAAGGGUGCAAGCGUUACUCGGAAUUACUGGGCGUAAAGGGUGCGUAGGUGGUCGUUUAAGUCUGUUGUGAAAUCCCUGGGCUCAACCUGGGAAUGGCAGUGGAUACUGGACGGCUAGAAUGCGGUAGAGGGUAGUGGAAUUCCCGGUGUAGCAGUGAAAUGCGUAGAUAUCUGGAGGAACACCGGUGGCGAAGGCGGCAUCCUGGACCAAUACUGACACUGAGGAGCGAAAGCCAGGGGAGCAAACGGG
rnacentral:rRNA from 1 species